GGGACACUUACGUUUGCAUAACAAGUUUUCUUAUCCACUGAGCUGUAUUUCCAGCCCUCCUACUAUUGAGACAAGGUCUCUCAUUGGCUGGGGAUUCACCAAUGAGGACAGGCAGGCCAGUCAACAAGCCUCAAGGAUGCAGCCUAUGCUUCCCCAGUGCUGGCAUACAGUUCCUGCCUCUAGGUUCUUGCUUCAGUUUCUGAUCUGGCCUUCCUUGAAGAUGAACUGUCAUCUGAAAGCCAAGCAAACUCUUUUCCUCCUCAAGUUGUUUUUGGUCAAUGUUUACCACAGCAACAGAGAGCAAAUGAGGACCACACACUGCUUAUCUAUGGGAACCGUCACUCAGUUUCCAGUUCAAGGUAUUGGAUUUCAGUAGCCUACCAUUAGGAGCAGAGGGCACAGAAGCUGUCAUGAUGCAGGUGGAAGAUGGAGAAAUAUCCUCAUCUCUUGCUCCAGUGUCUGGUUGGAGAACCUUGAGAACUGUGGAUGAGGCUGAGGUUCAUUGAAGUCAUUCUUCUGGGUACCAACAAGUAGCGAAGGCAGAGAGUGGGUGUGGCCGUCAUUACCAACUACCACUAGAAUCUGGAUAUGACUGCAGCCCUUGAGGUGAACGGUGCUUCUUACGGGCGGGUCCUGUGCUACCCUCACGCGGGGCUUUCAUGCUUCGGUUCCAGUUGAAAGGAGAUCGGACGGUCGCUGGCAACCCUUUGCAGUGCAGGCUUUGGAUUUCUCUUUAUUGUCCUCAGUGCCCAGCCUGGAGUGGAGAAGAUCUUUCUGGCUGACUUGAGGGGAGUAAAGAGGGGGUGGCCCCUAAGAGAUGCUGCAAUCAGCAUUCUGAGAUCAGCACCAGCGCUUGUCUCCUGAGAAGGUUCCAGUUCAAGGUUAUUUCACACACCUCCCUGCUAUGUGCUCUUCAGGGGCCCCAGCCCCAUGCUGUUCUUGAACUGCAUUGGAAUUUCCAUACCUUGCAGAACCUAGCUGUCAUCCCCAUAGUGACAGUUAAAACCUCUCUUCUAUCAACAAAACACAGACAUCAGGCUCGGUAGGUGAGUGAGCCUACCCACAAUGCCUCAGUGUUUCUCCCUUUCUGCCGCUGUCAUCAGGUAACCCUCUUCCUUCAUCCCCAGGGCCACCUAUCAGCCAGGCCCCCGCAGCUCUCCAUUCCUCCCCCAGCUUGCUCUUUAGUUGAGUCCCGAGUGCCUUUUCCAGCAAAACGGCUGAGAUUGACCUCAGGUGUUUUGGGAAAUAUCCAUGUCCAAUGCUUGCCUUCUAAUGAUGGCUCCGACAUAUUAUUUUAUUGACAUUUGAAACUGAAGACAAAACCAGCUGCUUCUGGAGGGAGGUGGGAAGUGAAACAUGAAAAGAAUCUCCCGUAUAACCGCUGCUCCCACCCCGCCCGAACCCAAACCAAUAAAAUGAGUCUAGCCAAUAA